GGCUCAGAACGAACGCUGGCGGCAGGCUUAACACAUGCAAGUCGAGCGCCCCGCAAGGGGAGCGGCAGACGGGUGAGUAACGCGUGGGAACGUACCAUUUGCUACGGAAUAACUCAGGGAAACUUGUGCUAAUACCGUAUGAGCCCGAAAGGGGAAAGAUUUAUCGGCAAAUGAUCGGCCCGCGUUGGAUUAGCUAGUUGGUGGGGUAAAGGCCUACCAAGGCGACGAUCCAUAGCUGGUCUGAGAGGAUGAUCAGCCACACUGGGACUGAGACACGGCCCAGACUCCUACGGGAGGCAGCAGUGGGGAAUAUUGGACAAUGGGCGCAAGCCUGAUCCAGCCAUGCCGCGUGAGUGAUGAAGGCCCUAGGGUUGUAAAGCUCUUUCACCGG
rnacentral:rRNA from 1 species